GGGGAAUAUUGCACAAUGGGGGAAACCCUGAUGCAGCGACGCCGCGUGGAGGAAGAAGGUCUUCGGAUUGUAAACUCCUGUUGUUGAGGAAGAUAAUGACGGUACUCAACAAGGAAGUGACGGCUAACUACGUGCCAGCAGCCGCGGUAAAACGUAGGUCACAAGCGUUGUCCGGAAUUACUGGGUGUAAAGGGAGCGCAGGCGGGAAGACAAGUUGGAAGUGAAAUCCAUGGGCUCAACCCAUGAACUGCUUUCAAAACUGUUUUUCUUGAGUAGUGCAGAGGUAGGCGGAAUUCCCGGUGUAGCGGUGGAAUGCGUAGAUAUCGGGAGGAACACCAGUGGCGAAGGCGGCCUACUGGGCACCAACUGACGCUGAGGCUCGAAAGUGUGGGUAGCAAACAGGAUUAGAUACCCUGGUAGUCCACACUGUAAACGAUGAUUACUAGGUGUUGGAGGAUUGACCCCUUCAGUGCCGCAGUUAACACAAUAAGUAAUCCACCUGGGGAGUACGACCGCAAGGUUGAAACUCAAAGGAAUUGACGGGGGCCCGCACAAGCAGUGGAGUAUGUGGUUUAAUUCGACGCAACGCGAAGAACCUUACCAAGUCUUGACAUCCCUUGACGAUGCUGGAAACAGUAUUUCUCUUCGGAGCAAGGAGACAGGUGGUGCAUGGUUGUCGUCAGCUCGUGUCGUGAGAUGUUGGGUUAAGUCCCGCAACGAGCGCAACCCUUAUGGUCAGUUACUACGCAAGAGGACUCUGGCCAGACUGCCGUUGACAAAACAGAGGAAGGUGGGGAUGACGUCAAAUCAUCAUGCCCUUUAUGACUUGGGCUACACACGUACUACAAUGGCGUAAACAAAGGGAAGCGAGCCUGCGAGGUGGAGCAAAACUCAGAAACAACGUCCCAGUUCGGACUGCAGGCUGCAACUCGCCUGCACGAAGUCGGAAUUGCUAGUAAUCGCAGAUCAGCAUGCUGCGGUGAAUACGUUCCCG
rnacentral:rRNA from 1 species